GACGAACGCUGGCGGCGUGCUUAACACAUGCGAGUCGAACGAAGAGCGAUGGACGCUUGCUUCUAUCAAUCUUAGUGGCGAACGGGUGAGUAACGCGUAAUCAACCUGCCCUUCAGAGGGGGACAACAGUUGGAAACGACUGCUAAUACCGCAUACGAUCUAAUCUCGGCAUCGAGGAUAGAUGAAAGGUGGCCUCUACAUGUAAGCUAUCACUGAAGGAGGGGAUUGCGUCUGAUUAGCUAGUUGGAGGGGUAACGGCCCACCAAGGCGAUGAGCAGUAGCCGGUCUGAGAGGAUGAACGGCCACAUUGGGACUGAGACACGGCCCAGACUCCUACGGGAGGCAGCAGUGGGGAAUCUUCCGCAAUGGACGAAAGUCUGACGGAGCAACGCCGCGUGAGUGAUGACGGCCUUCGGGUUGUAAAGCUCUGUUAAUCGGGACGAAAGGCCUUCUUGCGAACAGUUAGAAGGAUUGACGGUACCGGAAUAGAAAGCCACGGCUAACUACGUG
rnacentral:rRNA from 1 species